rnacentral:rRNA from 5 species
AGAAAUCAGUUCAGCACUAAGUCACUUUGUCUAUAUGGCAAAUGUGAGAUGCAGUGUAUGGAGCGUCAAUAUUCUAGUAUGAGAAAUUAACGAUUUAAGUCCUUCUUAAAUGAGGCCAUUUACCCAUAGAGGGUGCCAGGCCCGUAUAACGUUAAUGAUUACUAGAUGAUGUUUCCAAAGAGUCGUGUUGCUUGAUAGUGCAGCACUAAGUGGGUGGUAAACUCCAUCUAAAACUAAAUAUAACCAUGAGACCGAUAGUAAACAAGUACCGUGAGGGAAAGUUGAAAAGAACUCUGAAUAGAGAGUUAAACAGUACGUGAAACUGCUUAGAGGUUAAGCCCGAUGAACCUGAAUAUCCGUUAUGGAAAAUUCAUCAUUAAAGUUGUAAUAUUUUAACAAUAUUAUAAUAAUAGUGUGCAUUUUUUCCAUAUAAGGACAUUGUAAUCUAUUAGCAUAUACCAAAUUUAUCAUAAAAUAUGGCUUAUAGUUUAUUCAAAUUAUUAUGCUUGCAUUUUAACAUAGAAUAAAUGUCAUUAAUUUGAUAAAGUGUUGAUAAAUUAAAAUUAAUACAGUGCGUUAAUUUUUCGAAAUUAUAUAAUGGCAUAAUUAUCAUCGAUUUUUGUGUUUAUUAUAUGCAUUUGUAUGAUUAA